AUUGCUUCUUGGCCUUUUGGCUAAGAUCAAGUGUAGUAUACAUGUAGGCACACAAUGUAGACCUCUAUUAAAAUUAUGUAGUCUAU
rnacentral:snRNA from 1 species